GACUUUGGAAUAAUCAAACUAAAAGCCUUAUUCUGCAGGUUGUUGAAGGGAUUCCAAGAUCAAGGACAGAUACAAUCAUGCAACGUGGAUGCUUGACGUCAGUACUCUUUCAAUAGAGUCACAAAUGAGUGUGCACUUUGCUCAGCUAUUCACCAACUCCUCUCUUUAUCGGAGGAACUCACCAAAGAGCUCAAUGCUCCACCACCAGGAUCGAAAGAUCUCUACUUCCAAACUCAGUACUCGCAGCCAUCUUUGACUCAAACCAAAGCUUGCGUCUUGAAACAGUAUUGGUCUAAGUGGAGAUAUCCUCAGGACAAUGCCAUCUGGUUUCUCACGACAAUAUUUGCGUCAUGUUUGGUUUGGUUUCUUGCUUCUCACUGAAUAUAUAGUUUUAUUGAGUUUGCAGUCUUAUUGUAUCAUCGGUUUGCAAUUUUUAGUUUUAUCUUUUUCCUGGGUUUUGAUUCACUGAUUUUCUUAUGCAGCAGAAGAGCUCUGGAAAUGGUAAAUUCACGUGUGAAGAUACUAAAGAACAAAAAAGGAAUUUUCAAAUUAAACAACCGCCAUAAGAAUUAGAUCCAUAAGAAUUAGAUCAGUUGCUCGAAGCUGGGCAUGCCCCCUACUGCUACAAUUCAGGUAAGAAGAAGAAUAUAAAGAGUUUUGUUAUUCUUGGUCGAUUAAACAGAUCACCCAUCAGUUCUUCCCGGAUAUGGAAUCUAGCGCCGACGACAACUGUGUUGGAGAUGGUCGUGGUGGUGCCGGCUUAGGCUUUCCUGAGACUCACAGGCUUGGUCUAAAGUUUUGUCAGUCGGAUGGAACGACCGGAUCGACCGGAUCAUCGGGGGUAAAGUCGCUGCUGUGGUGAAGCGAAUGAAUAAUUUCCGGUGUUGACCACGUUCAAGGAGUUCUCAGUAUAGCGAGAUAAGGAGUGACCAGUUUUUCUGCUCUUGAUAAAUAUGAGAAUGGUAGUGCAUUUAGGUAGCUUGGCUAGCCGACAAAUGGGAAGCUUAAUUUCAACGGACGGUCAAUGAUGCAAGCACAAGCUCUUGCUUCAGUUGGCUGGGUCAAGAAUUCAAGAUUGGAAAUUUUUCCAAGCGCCUAGUGGAAGCCUUCUAAAAAGAGUUUGGCUAGCGACACACUGCUGGGUGUUUUUUAGAGGGUGAGGAUCUCUGAAAAUAUUGUCUAGCUCUAUAGCCAUGUAUUAGAAAACCCUUCUAGCUAAGGUUGUACUGGUUGCUCAGAUGGGAGUUACAUGGGGUCUGUCAUUCCUUAUCCCUUCUUUCACAUUCAGUGGUUUCAAACGAACAGAAACACAAAACUUCUCUUCCAUCCGAGAAGAUCCUUGCAUCUGAUCCUCUCCAGCAGCCAUUUUCAUCCCUCACCUCCCUUCCAUCAUCCUAGCUUAAGAGAAGCUAAGAAGAAAAACAACAUCAAUGUCAUACAUAUGUAAAGGAAGAGAAAGAAUUAUAAGUUUAAGACAGCUCAGUUAUUGUAAAUUGUUUUCUUUUACUGGUGAGCACGAAGAUGGGAAUUUCAUAUUUGGUUAUAUAACUGCUGUAGAAGUUUUUUUUAUUUCAUUAAUCAAUCGUAGUUGAACA